rnacentral:lncRNA from 1 species
GGGAAUCAAAGGCAAACUAGAAAAUUUGCCCCAUUAGCUUACCUCAUCUAAUACAUCACAGAGUUUUCUCAAUUUAGCUUCCAACAGUGCAAUUUCCUUCAAAUUGUCAACUUCUUUUAAGGCAGGUACGCUUCCAGUCUUUUCUGAUCCACGGAAACCUUUUGCAAAAUGCUUCUUGUCCAACUUUUCAAGAGGCAUGUGCUGCACAUGACAAUAAUAUCAUCACUAUCACAUUAACUUGUUAAUAGGAAAAUCAAGCAAAAUCAAAAUAAAGGCAUUGAACAGUACUUUAAUUUCAAUUCAGGAAAAGAGACCAGCCCCAAUCAAAGUAUUGACUCUUUGGAAAGAAGGAUUUAAUUCAUAAUAAAAUAAUGUCUAUGAAAUGUUAUAUUAGAUGUUUAGCAGGGAUGUAAUUUCAGAGCAUUAAAACAUAGGCCUAUAUUUAAUCCUGAAAAACAAAAGAGAAAGGAAAUUUUCUAUCCACAUCACCCCCCUUUUUCCCUCCCUCGUUUUGGAGGUAAUUUAGCCAACACCUGAACCAGAGAGGAUGACUAAGAGUUAUGAAAUUGGAUUAGUUUCAGUUAAAUUUUGCAGUUCGACGAGAAGCGUACCAGCAAGACAGAUCAAUAUGAAAUCUAAAAAAAAAAAAAAAAAACAAAAACCAGUUCCCCUGCUUACCUCAUCUAAUACAUCACAGAGUUUUCUCAAUUUAGCUUCCAACAGUGCAAUUUCCUUCAAAUUGUCAACUUCUUUUAAGGCAGGUACGCUUCCAGUCUUUUCUGAUCCACGGAAACCUUUUGCAAAAUGCUUCUUGUCCAACUUUUCAAGAGGCAUGUGCUGCACAUGACAAUAAUAUCAUCACUAUCACAUUAACUUGUUA